UACGUAGGUGGCAAGCGUUAUCCGGAAUUAUUGGGCGUAAAGAGCGCGCAGGUGGUUGAUUAAGUCUGAUGUGAAAGGCUACGGCUCAACCGUAGUAAGCCUUUGAAACUGGGAAACUUGAGUGCAGGAGAGGAGAGUGGAAUUCCUAGUGUAGCGGUGAAAUGCGUAAAUAUUAGGAGGAACACCAGUUUGCGAAGGCGGCUCUCUGGACUGUAACUGACACUGAGGCACGAAAGCGUGGGGAGCAAACAGGAUUAGAUACCCGCGUA
rnacentral:rRNA from 1 species